rnacentral:rRNA from 1 species
CAGUCGAGGGGCAGCGGGGAGGAAGCUUGCUUUCUCCGCCGGCGACCGGCGCACGGGUGAGUAACACGUAUGCAACCUGCCCCUGUCAGGGGGACAACCCGCCGAAAGGCGGGCUAAACCCGCGUACAUGCCACCGGGGCAUCCCGGAGGCAGGAAAGGCUUCGGCCGGACAGGGAUGGGCAUGCGGCGCAUUAGGCAGUAGGCGGGGUAACGGCCCACCUAACCGACGAUGCGUAGGGGUUCUGAGAGGAAGGUCCCCCACACUGGUACUGAGACACGGACCAGACUCCUACGGGAGGCAGCAGUGAGGAAUAUUGGUCAAUGGUCGGGAGACUGAACCAGCCAAGCCGCGUGAGGGAUGAAGGUACAGAGUAUCGUAAACCUCUUUUGUCAGGGAACAAAGGCGGGGACGCGUCCCCGGAUGAGUGUACCUGAAGAAAAAGCAUCGGCUAACUCCGUGCCAGCAGCCGCGGUAAUACGGAGGAUGCGAGCGUUAUCCGGAUUUAUUGGGUUUAAAGGGUGCGCAGGCGGUCUGUUAAGUCAGCGGUCAAAGCCCGGGGCUCAACCCCGGCCCGCCGUUGAAACUGGCAGUCUCGAGUUGGAGAGAAGUAUGCGGAAUGCGCGGUGUAGCGGUGAAAUGCAUAGAUAUCGCGCAGAACUCCGAUUGCGAAGGCAGCAUGCCGGCUCCACACUGACGCUGAGGCACGAAAGCGUGGGUAUCGAACAGGAUUAGAUACCCUGGUAGUCCACGCAGUAAACGAUGAAUGCUGGCUGUCCGGGGGGACUGACCCCUGGGUGGCGAAGCGAAAGCGUUAAGUAUUCCACC